CCUACGGGGGGCAGCAGUGGGGAAUAUUGGACAAUGGGCGAAAGCCUGAUCCAGCCAUGCCGCGUGUGUGAAGAAGGCCUUCGGGUUGUAAAGCACUUUCAGUGGGGAAGAAAGCCUUGGGGCUAAUACCCUCGAGGAAGGACAUCACCCACAGAAGAAGCACCGGCUAACUCCGUGCCAGCAGCCGCGGUAAUACGGAGGGUGCGAGCGUUAAUCGGAAUUACUGGGGGUAAAGCGCGCGUAGGCGGUCUGAUAAGCCGGUUGUGAAAGCCCCGGGCUCAACCUGGGAACGGCAUCCGGAACUGUCAGGCUAGAGUGCAGGAGAGGAAGGUAGAAUUCCCGGUGUAGCGGUGAAAUGCGUAGAGAUCGGGAGGAAUACCAGUGGCGAAGGCGGCCUUCUGGACUGACACUGACGCUGAGGUGCGAAAGCGUGGGUAGCAAACAGGAUUAGAUACCCGUGUAGUC
rnacentral:rRNA from 1 species